rnacentral:rRNA from 1 species
CGGACCUCAGAUCAGACAAGAACACCCGCU